CGGGAGUACAUCAGCGGCGAACGGGUGAGUAACACGUGGGUGACUUGCCCCGAAGAUGGGGAUAACCUCUGGAAACGGGGGCUAAUACCCAAUGUGCUCGGUGAUUCGGUUCAUCGAGUAAAGCUCCGGCGCUUCGGGAGAGGCCUGCGGCCCAUCAGCUAGUUGGUAGGGUAACGGCCUACCAAGGCAGAGACGGGUAGGGGGCGUGAGAGCGCGGACCCCCACACUGGCACUGAGAUACGGGCCAGACUCCUACGGGAGGCAGCAGUAAGGGAUAUUGCGCAAUGGACGAAAGUCAGACGCAGCGACGCCGCGUGGGCGAUGAAGGCCUUCGGGUUGUAAAGCCCUUUUAUGGGGGAAGAGAAAAAGGACGGUACCCCAGGAAUAAGUCCCGGCUAACUACGUGCCAGCAGCCGCGGUAAAACGUAGGGGACAAGCGUUAUCCGGAUUCACUGGGCGUAAAGAGCGUUGAGGCGGUUCCGUAAGUUGGGCGUGAAAGCUCCGGGCUUAACUCGGAGAUGUCGUUCAAUACUGCGGGGCUUGAGGACAGCAGAGGAAGGUGGAAUUCCCGGUGUAGUGGUGAAAUGCGUAGAUAUCGGGAGGAACACCCGUGGCGAAGGCGGCCUUCUGGGCUGUUCCUGACGCUGAAGGCGAAAAGCUAGGGGAGCGAACCGGGAUUAGAUACCCCGGUAGUCCUAGCUUGUAACGAUGGAUGCUGGGGUGUGGGGGGUGUAAUUCCCUCUGUGCCGAAGCAAACGCGUUAAGCAUCCCCGGCUGGGGACUACGGCCGCAAGGCUAAUACUCAAACGUAUUGACGGGGGCCCGCACAAGCCAGCGGAGCGUGUGGUUUAAUUCGAUGCUACACGAAGAACCUUACCUGGGUUUGACAUGCACGUGGUAGGGAACCGAAAGGGGACCGACCUUCGGGAGCGUGCACAGGUGCUGCAUGGCUGUCGUCAGCUCGUGCCGUGAGGUGUCGGAUUAAGUCCCGUAACGAGCGCAACCCUUGCCCUUAGUUACAAGUGUCUAAGGGGACUGCCCGGGACAACUGGGAGGAAGGUGGGGAUGACGUCAAGUCAGCAUGGCCUUUAUAUCCAGGGCUACACACACGCUACAAUGG
rnacentral:rRNA from 1 species